rnacentral:rRNA from 1 species
CACGUAGGGGGCGAGCGUUGUCCGGAAUCAUUGGGCGUAAAGAGCUCGUAGGCGGCUCAGUAAGUCGGGUGUGAAACCCUCAGGCUCACGCGGAUGGACGCCACCCGAUACUGCUGUGGCUAGAGUCCAGUAGGGGAGUGUGGAAUUCCCGGUGUAGCGGUGAAAUGCGCAGAUAUCGGGAGGAACACCAGCGGCGAAGGCGGCACUCUGGGCUGGUACUGACGCUGAGGAGCGAAAGCGUGGGUAGCAAACAGG